GAUGAACGCUGACAGAAUGCUUAACACAUGCAAGUCGAUGGGGAAGUGGUGCUUGCACCAUGGCAACCAUGGCGGACGGGUGAGUAACGCGUAAGGGACUUACCUGCAGGACUGGGAUAACAGGGGGAAACUCCUGACAAGACCGGAUAAUGUCAUGGAGCUGCAUGGCUUUAUGAUGAAAGGAGACGCCUGCGGAGAGCCUUGCGUCCUAUUAGCUAGUUGGUGAGGUAAUGGCUCACCAAGGCGAAGAUAGGUAGCCGGCCUGAGAGGGUGGACGGCCACAAGGGGGCUGAGAUACGGCCCUUACUCCUCCGGGGGGCAGCAGGGGGGAAUAUGGGACAAUGGGGGCAACCCUGAUCCAGCAAUUUUGUGUGCACGAAGAAGGUUUUCGGAUUGUAAAGUGCUUUCAGCAGGGAAGAAGUAAGGGCCGGUACCGGCAGAAGAAGCGACGGCUAAAUACGU
rnacentral:rRNA from 1 species